CCUACGGGUGGCAGCAGUGGGGGAUAUUGCACAAUGGGGGAAACCCUGAUGCAGCGACGCCGCGUGGGUGAAGAAGCUCCUCCGCGCGUAAAGCCCUGUCAGCAGGGACGAACAUGACGGUACCUGAACAAGCAUCCCCGGCUAACUACGUGCCAGCCGCCGCAGCUCUACGUAGGGGGCAAGCGUUAUCCGGAUUUACUGGGUGUUAAGGGGGCGCAGACGGCGUUGCAAGCCAGGAGUGAAUGCCCGGGGCCCAACCCCGGGACUGCCGUUGGAACUGGGUGGCUAGAGUGCAGGAGGGGCAGGCGGAAUGCCUGGUGUAGCGGUGAAAUGCGUAGAUAUCAGGAGGAACACCGGUGGCGAAGGCGGCAUGCUGGACUGCAACUGACGUUGAGGCCCGAAAGCGUGGGGAGCGAACAGGAUUAGAUACCCUAGUAGUC
rnacentral:rRNA from 1 species